rnacentral:rRNA from 1 species
GACGAACGCUGGCGGCGUGCUUAACACAUGCAAGUCGAACGGUGAAGCGCCUUCCUUUUUGGUGGGUGUGGAUGAGUGGCGAACGGGUGAGUAACACGUGAGUAACCUGCCCCCUUCUUCUGGAUAACCGCAUGAAAGUGUGGCUAAUACGGGAUAUUCUGGGUCUGUCGCAUGAUGGGUCUGGGAAAGAUAUUGUUUCGGUGGGGGAUGGGCUCGCGGCCUAUCAGCUUGUUGGUGGGGUGAUGGCCUACCAAGGCGGUGACGGGUAGCCGGCCUGAGAGGGUCGACGGUACUACUGGGGAGGCGAGACCGAGAAGACUCCUAGGGGAAGCAGCGGGGAGGAAUAUAGAACAAUGGGAGGAAGGCUGAAGCAGCGACGCCGCGUGGGGGAUGGAGGCCUUGUGGUUGUGACCCUCUUUCGCGAGUGAAGCAGGGCUGCCUCGUUUGUGGGUGGGUUGACGGUAGCUGGAGAAGAAGCGCCGGCUAACUACGUG